GGGGAAUAUUACACAAUGGGGGAAACCCUGAUGCAGCGACGCCGCGUGGAGGAAGAAGGUCUUCGGAUUGUAAACUCCUGUUGUUGAGGAAGAUAAUGACGGUACUCAACAAGGAAGUGACGGCUAACUACGUGCCAGCAGCCGCGGUAAAACGUAGGUCACAAGCGUUGUCCGGAAUUACUGGGUGUAAAGGGAGCGCAGGCGGGAAGGCAAGUUGGAAGUGAAAUCCAUGGGCUCAACCCAUGAACUGCUUUCAAAACUGUUUUUCUUGAGUAGUGCAGAGGUAGGCGGAAUUCCCGGUGUAGCGGUGGAAUGCGUAGAUAUCGGGAGGAACACCAGUGGCGAAGGCGGCCUACUGGGCACCAACUGACGCUGAGGCUCGAAAGUGUGGGUAGCAAACAGGAUUAGAUACCCUGGUAGUCCACACUGUAAACGAUGAUUACUAGGUGUUGGAGGAUUGACCCCUUCAGUGCCGCAGUUAACACAAUAAGUAAUCCACCUGGGGAGUACGACCGCAAGGUUGAAACUCAAAGGAAUUGACGGGGGCCCGCACAAGCAGUGGAGUAUGUGGUUUAAUUCGACGCAACGCGAAGAACCUUACCAAGUCUUGACAUCCUGCGACGCACAUAGAAAUAUGUGUUUCCUUCGGGACGCAGAGACAGGUGGUGCAUGGUUGUCGUCAGCUCGUGUCGUGAGAUGUUGGGUUAAGUCCCGCAACGAGCGCAACCCUUAUGGUCAGUUACUACGCAAGAGGACUCUGGCCAGACUGCCGUUGACAAAACGGAGGAAGGUGGGGAUGACGUCAAAUCAUCAUGCCCUUUAUGACUUGGGCUACACACGUACUACAAUGGCGUUAAACAAAGAGAAGCAAGACCGCGAGGUGGAGCAAAACUCAGAAACAACGUCCCAGUUCGGACUGCAGGCUGCAACUCGCCUGCACGAAGUCGGAAUUGCUAGUAAUCGCAGAUCAGCAUGCUGCGGUGAAUACGUUCCCG
rnacentral:rRNA from 1 species